CCUACGGGGGGCAGCAGUGAGGAAUAUUGGUCAAUGGCCGGAAGGCUGAACCAGCCAAGCCGCGUGAAGGACGACUGUCCCAUGGGUUGUAAACUUCUUUUAUCAGGGGACAAAGUCAUGCUCGAGUGCCUGUCCGAAGGUACUUUAAGAAUAAGGAUCGGCUAACUCCGUGCCAGCAGCCGCGGUAAUACGGAGGGUGCGGGCGUUAUCCGGAUUUUUUGGGUUUAAGGGGUGCGUAGGCGGGCUUUUAAGUCAGCGGGAAAAGCUCGGGGCUAAACACGGGAGUGCCGCUGGAACUGGGUGCCUUGAGAGGUCGGAAGGCAGGCGGAAUGCGUGGUGUAGCGGUGAAAUGCUUAGAUAUCGCGAAGAACCCCGAUUGCGAAGGCAGCAUACCGGAGCGGAACUGACGCUGAGGCUCGAAAGCGUGGGUAUCGAACAGGAUUAGAUACCCGUGUAGUC
rnacentral:rRNA from 1 species